AUUGAACGCUGGCGGCAGGCUUAACACAUGCAAGUCGAGCGAGCGGCGGACGGGUGAGUAAUGUCUGGGAAACUGUCUGAUGGAGGGGGAUAACUACUGGAAACGGUAGCUAAUACCGCAUACCAUCAGAUGUGCCCAGAUGGGAUUAGCGAGUAGGUGGGGUAAAGGCUCACCUAGGCGACGAUCGCUAGCUGGUCUGAGAGGAUGAUCAGCCACACUGGGACUAGGACACGGCCCAGGGUCCUACGGGAGGCAGCAGUGGGGAAUAUUGGACAAUGGGCGCAAGCCUGAGGCAGCCAUGCCGCGUGGAUGAAGAAGGCCUUCGGGUUGUAAAGUACUUUCAGUCGGGAGGCGUUACCGACAGAAGAAGCACCGGCUAACUACGUGCCAGCAGCCGCGGUAAUUC
rnacentral:rRNA from 1 species